UUUCAGAAACGAAACCACUGAAAUGAGCUCCAUCUUUCUCUGCCGUGCUUUUCUUUGGGAGGUUAGGGAGUCAAACGGUGGCUGUUUGGCAGUAAUUAUGUGUGCUAAAGGUCAAAUGGAAAUCACGCCCUGAAACCCAACACUGACAUGAAGGCAUCAAUGAAACUUGAAGAUUUGGCUGUUUAUAUUUGGAUCCAUUACUCUGUGUCAUCGGGAAGAAGCGCACCCGCCUCAAAUUCAGCCUACAGCAGCACGACGAGCCCAAGGAAGCGCCAAGAAGAUGACGAGACAGGCCUAAAGAAUCCCAGCUUUAAUUUUACUGCCUUAAAAUGGUGCUAAGACGUCUACGUUAUCCGAACAGAGCACUUUGCUCUCGCACUGCAGGCUUACUUGUUCCUAAAAGUAGAAUGGGAGGCAGAGCCUUCAGUUUUCAGGCCCCUCUUCUGUGGAACCAGCUUCCAGUUUGGAUUCAGGAGACAGACACUAUCUCUACUUUCAAGAUUAGGCUUCAAACUUUUGAUAAAGGGCUGAUCAGGUUAUCCUGAAUCAGCCAGUGGCAACAAAAGACUCUCCCGAGUCUUCCCACCGUUGCCAACUAACGAGAUCUUUUUGGACACCAUCUCCACGUGGUAACAGCCGCUCCCUACAGUCUGCCAGCAGAGAAGCAUGCUGAGCCCAUAACUGUGUCGUCUGUUGGAAAAGUUGGUUCAUGCUAUAACGGUACAAAGUGUUGAGAUGAAAUUAUUUGAAGUGCCUUAAUGUUGAGUCUCAUAUUAACCAAAAUGCCAUAUAAUCAUAUAGUGUAGUAUUAAGUGGACACGGCCCUGAAAAAUAAAGGCAUUAGACUACGUGUCCUUCAGUGGAAAAAUGCUGUUGACUCUCACUCAUGCUUGCCUGGGAAAAAGUAGAUAAAGGGGACCAUCUUUUAGUGGAAAGUUACUGAAAUGCUGUUGUUUAGACUAGAAUGGGGUAGCUGGUAAUAAAACUGUUAAGCGUGCGUCACCAUUUUGAGAUCCGGGGCAACGUGUCAUGCAGGAUGCAUCACCCUUCUAGAAGUAUUGUGUAAGAGAAUAAACGUGUGAAAUGGU